rnacentral:rRNA from 1 species
GAUGAACGCUGGCGGCGUGCCUAAUACAUGCAAGUCGAGCGAAUGGAUUAAGAGCUUGCUCUUAUGAAGUUAGCGGCGGACGGGUGAGUAACACGUGGGUAACCUGCCCACAAGACUGGGAUAACUCCGGGAAACCGGGGCUAAUACCGGAUAACAUUUUGAACCGCAUGGUUCGAAAUUGAAAGGCGGCUUCGGCUGUCACUUAUGGAUGGACCCGCGUCGCAUUAGCUAGUUGGUGAGGUAACGGCUCACCAAGGCAACGAUGCGUAGCCGACCUGAGAGGGUGAUCGGCCACACUGGGACUGAGACACGGCCCAGACUCCUACGGGAGGCAGCAGUAGGGAAUCUUCCGCAAUGGACGAAAGUCUGACGGAGCAACGCCGCGUGAGUGAUGAAGGCUUUCGGGUCGUAAAACUCUGUUGUUAGGGAAGAGCAAGUGCUAGUUGAAUAAGCUGGCACCUUGACGGUACCUAACCAGAAAGCCACGGCUAACUACGUGCCAGCCGCCGCGGUAA